rnacentral:misc_RNA from 1 species
GUGAUUGCAUAUUCCGUGAAUCAUCCAGUCUUUGAACGCAACUUGCGCCCCCUGGUAUUCCGGGGGGCAUGCCUGGUUCAACCGUCUUUUUGCCCUCUAGCCGGUUUGGGUAUUGGGCCCUAUCCUCCGAUCCCGGCCGAAAUCACCUAAGCUGGGCCUUCUGUCCCCUAACGGUGUGGAAACUAUUGGGCUUUGGACCCGCUCAGGAUGCCCCGCCGGCGCUUGCCGAUCAACCCAAAUUUUUAUCCAGGUUGACCUCUGAUCACGGAAGGAUACCCGCUGAACUUAAGCAUAAAAAUAAGCGGAGGAAAACGUAUGAC